AGAGGAAGUAAAAGUCGUAACAAGGUUUCCGUAGGUGAACCUGCGGAAGGAUCAUUAUCGAGUUUUGAACGGGUUGUCUGCUGGCUCGCGAGAGCAUGUGCACGCCUGUCUUCAUCCACUCUCAACUUCUGUGCACUUUUCAUAGGCCGGCUUGUGGGUGCGCGUUCGCGUGCGUCUGUAGGUCUGGUUUAUGCUUUACUACAAACGAAUCAGUUUUAGAAUGUCAUACUUUGCUAUAACGCAAUUAUAUACAACUUUCAGCAACGGAUCUCUUGGCUCUCGCAUCGAUGAAGAACGCAGCGAAAUGCGAUAAGUAAUGUGAAUUGCAGAAUUCAGUGAAUCAUCGAAUCUUUGAACGCACCUUGCGCUCCUUGGUAUUCCGAGGAGCAUGCCUGUUUGAGUCUCAUGGAAUUCUCAACCUUCGACUUUGUUGUCGGAGGCUUGGACUUGGAGGUCGUGUCGGCUCUCGUAGUCGACUCCUCUGAAAUGCAUUAGUGCGAACGUUACCAGCCGCUUCAGCGUGAUAAUUAUCUGCGUUGCUGUGGAGGGUAUGCUAGUGUUCGCGCUUCUAACCGUCUUCGGACAACAUUUCUAGACUCUGAGCUCAA
rnacentral:rRNA from 1 species